UACGGAGGUGCGAGCGUUGUCCGGAAUCACUGGGCGUAAAGGCGCGUAGGCGGCCUGAUAAGUAGGGGGUGAAAUCCUGCGGCUUAACCGCAGGGCUGCCUUCUAAACUGUCAGGCUGGAGCACAGUAGAGGCAGGUGGAAUUCCCGGUGUAGCGGUGGAAUGCGUAGAGAUCGGGAAGAACACCGGUGGCGAAGGCGGUCUGCUGGGCGAGUUGCUGACACUGGAGGCGCGACAGCGUGGGGAGCAAACAGG
rnacentral:rRNA from 1 species